rnacentral:rRNA from 1 species
CCUACGGGAGGCAGCAGUGAGGAAUAUUGGUCAAUGGUCGGGAGACUGAACCAGCCAAGCCGCGUGAGGGAUGAAGGUCCAGAGUAUCGUAAACCUCUUUUGUCAGGGAACAAAGUCGGGGAUGUGUCCCCGGCUGAGUGUACCUGAAGAAAAAGCAUCGGUUAACCCCGUGCCAGCAGCCGCGGUAAUACGGAGGAUGCGAGCGUUAUCGGGAUUUAUUGGGUUUAAGGGGUGCGCAGGUGGUCUGUUAAGUCAGCGGUCAAGGCCCGGGGCUCAACCCGGACCCGCCGUUGAAACUGGCAGUCUCGAGUGGGAGAGAAGUAUGCGGAAUGCGCGGUGUAGCGGUGAAAUGCAUAGAUAUCGCGCAGAACUCCGAUUGCGAAGGCAGCAUGCCGGCUCCACACUGACGCUGAGGCACGAAAGCGUGGGUAUCGAACAGGAUUAGAUACCCCAGUAGUC